CAAGAUUACCCGCUGAACUUAAGCAUAUUACUAAGCGGAGGAAAAGAAACUAACAAGGAUUGCCCUAGUAACGGCGAGUGAACCGGCAUCAGCCCAGACUGGAAAUCGCUUCGGCGAGUUGUACAGUUGAGACAUAGACCUUACACAGCGGAGCAGGUGUAACUCAGUUGGAACGCUGGACCGUAGAGGGUGAUAGUCCCGUGCCACUUGUUCCAAGUGAGAGGUCGUGUUCCACGAGUCGGGUAGCUUGGGAUUGCUGCCCAAAGUGGGAGGUAGACUUCUUCUAAGGCUAAAUACUCACAAGAGACCGAUAGCGAACAAGUACUGUGAAGGAAAGAUGAAAAGAACUUUGAAAAAAGGGUUAAAAUACUUGAAAUCGCUGAGGAGGAAGCAGUGGGCUCUGCA
rnacentral:rRNA from 13 species